ACGAACGCUGGCGGCGUGCCUAAUACAUGCAAGUAGAACGCUGAAGGAGGAGCUUGCUCUUCUGGAUGAGUUGCGAACGGGUGAGUAACGCGUAGGUAACCUGCCUGGUAGCGGGGGAUAACUAUUGGAAACGAUAGCUAAUACCGCAUAAUAGUAGAUGUUGCAUGAUAUUUACUUAAAAGGUGCAAUUGCACCACUACCAGAUGGACCUGCGUUGUAUUAGCUAGUUGGUGGGGUAACGGCUCACCAAGGCGACGAUACAUAGCCGACCUGAGAGGGUGAUCGGCCACACUGGGACUGAGACACGGCCCAGACUCCUACGGGAGGCAGCAGUAGGGAAUCUUCGGCAAUGGACGAAAGUCUGACCGAGCAACGCCGCGUGAGUGAAGAAGGGUUUCGGAUCGGAAAGCUCUGUUGUAAGAGAAGAACGAGUGUGAGAGUGGAAAGUUCACACUGUGACGGUAUCUUACCAGAAAGGGACGGCUAACUACGUG
rnacentral:rRNA from 1 species